CAGAGACACCAGAGCUGUGCUGUGUGGAGUGAAGCCUGGCUCAAGAUUAUUUGGUGGCUCUUUUGGUCUCCAGAAAUCUCGGACCAGGCUUCAUUCCUACCAUUACAACUCUUUUUG
rnacentral:pre_miRNA from 1 species